rnacentral:rRNA from 1 species
GGCAGACGGGUGAGUAACGCGUGGGAACAUACCCUUUCCUGCGGAAUAGCUCCGGGAAACUGGAAUUAAUACCGCAUACGCCCUACGGGGGAAAGAUUUAUCGGGGAAGGAUUGGCCCGCGUUGGAUUAGCUAGUUGGUGGGGUAAAGGCCUACCAAGGCGACGAUCCAUAGCUGGUCUGAGAGGAUGAUCAGCCACAUUGGGACUGAGACACGGCCCAAACUCCUACGGGAGGCAGCAGUGGGGAAUAUUGGACAAUGGGCGCAAGCCUGAUCCAGCCAUGCCGCGUGAGUGAUGAAGGCCUUAGGGUUGUAAAGCUCUUUCACCGAUGAAGAUAAUGACGGUAGUCGGAGAAGAAGCCCCGGCUAACUUCGUGCCAGCAGCCGCGGUAAUACGAAGGGGGCUAGCGUUGUUCGGAAUUACUGGGCGUAAAGCGCACGUAGGCGGAUAUUUAAGUCAGGGGUGAAAUCCCGCAGCUCAACUGCGGAACUGCCUUUGAUACUGGGUAUCUUGAGUAUGGAAGAGGUAAGUGGAAUUCCGAGUGUAGAGGUGAAAUUCGUAGAUAUUCGGAGGAACACCAGUGGCGAAGGCGGCUUA